CACAGGCAGAUUAGAGCGGUGCACUCCCAUGGUAGCUACCAUUGGGAGAGAGGAGCAGCUGUGUCCUGUUGCUACACACGAAAGGCACGAAGCUGUCGUGUGUUAACAGCAAGACACAUUUGAAACGCGGUCGACAAGUUUCCUCAGACAAGACUUCAGAGGCAAAUCAGAGAGACCACAGAAACUCCGCUGGCCGAGCUUCCAGAACUCCCAUCGGCCCAGCUCCAGAUUAGCUGCCAGUCUGUGCUACAGAUGAAUCUACUCCAGAAGCUCUCCCUGCUGCAGCUCACUGCUCUGCUGGAGAGACACACCCCUACAAACAAACAUGGCUUUAGCUGGGCUGUGCCAAGGUUUAUGAAGCGGAUCAAGGUGCGUGAAUAUGUUCGGUGUGCCACUACAAGUCAUCGUCCAGCGGACAGGCCAGCCCCUCCCUCAGGGCAUUCAGCAGGCCAUGCGCUAUUUACGCAGCCAGUGUCUCGACCAGAUCCCAGGGGAGAUGAAUCGCUGCAGGAACUCUUAUGUGGAGCAGGCGCUGCUGUCGCGAUGGCUGGAGGACCUCUCCGGGGACAGAGAACAAAACUUGUCCCUCUGUUUGACUGAGUCCAAAAGCUGAUAAGGAAGAUUUUGUUUACAGCACCUCCACACAUUGGACUUGGGUAAGGAGGACACCCACCAGACACACCACUGUGUGAGCACCAAAUGCAGAUACUUUGAGGCGUGGUUGAACUGGCUACCUCCGCUGGUGAAUCCUGAGCAUUAUACUGCAUAAGAACUGUAAGAUGAGUGUAUUUACAUGAGAUGAUUUUAUUUAAAU